rnacentral:lncRNA from 1 species
UGGUGGAGUGUUCCGAACGUCGGACGGUGGAGGAAGGCAGACGCCGAACGCUGAAGGGAGGCGGACGCCGGACACGCUGAAGGGAGUCCGACGCCGGACGCGCUGAAGGAAGGAGGACGCCGAACGCUGAACUCGCAAACGCCAGACGGUGAAGUUGGCACCGGAAGAUGGCAGCGAAGUUAGCUGAAAAAAGAGUCGGAAAAGAUGGGAAUUAUCGGUGGUGAGAUGGGAUUUGGC